rnacentral:sRNA from 1 species
AGCCAAGAGAUCGUUUGCUGACA